rnacentral:rRNA from 1 species
AGCAUGGAUGUUGGAUUCAGCUUGCUCUUUUUUCAUGCGACGCCCAACAGGGAGUGGUUCUCUUCGUGCAAGUCUGGUGAGUUUGGUUUAGCCUAUGUGGGCGAUGACACAGGUUAUCGUGUUGCUAGAGUAGGUGACAUCAAAAUCAAGAUGUUUGAUGGAGUUGAGCGGAUGCUUCGGGGAGUCAGGCAUGUGCCAGGGCUAAGGAGGAAUCUAAUUUCGCUUGGUGUUCUUCAUGAUGGUGGUAUGGAAUUCCGUUGUGAUCGGGAUACGAAGACCAUGGAAAUCAUGGAAGAUGGGGUGACUGUGAUGAUAGGAGAGAGGAAGUCUUCACAUCUUUACAAGUUGCAAGGGAGCACUAUUGCAGGUGGA